rnacentral:lncRNA from 1 species
CUUCUGAUCCACAUCCGCACACGGGGACCGAGCCCGAUAUGUCACAGUCUUGUUAAAAGAAGAAUCCUCAGAGAUGUGGAGGAGGGACACCCAGAAAUUAUCCAGCUUUAUAGAGACAGGCUGCAUAGCUUGAGGCAAUGUAAGGGCGACCAUUCAAAAUGAACUGGCUUCUAUGAACGAACAAUUAGAGAUGCCUUACUACCACUGGCUGUAAUCGAUGACUUCUAUGAACAAUUAGCAAUGCCUUACUAUCACCAUCUCCUUGACUAGAAGAGCCUCCGGGAACUAGAAGACAAUAAAGGAAUGGCAGACAUUGUCAAGAGAACUGUGUGUGCAAGACUAGGCUUUUGAUGCCCAGGUUAGCAGGCCAGAUGGGACUCUGUUCACAGGAGAGAUAAAAACAUUGACUCGGCAGCCAUUCUAGGAUGGUACAGGGCAAGUGGUUUUGGGCUGGUGAGAUGGCUCAGUGGGUAAGAGCACCCGACUGUUCUUCCGAAGGUCCAGAGUUCAAAUCCCAGCAACCACAUGGUGGCUCACAACCAUCCGUAACAAGAUCUGGCUCCCUCUUCUGGUGUGUCUGAAGACAGCUACAGUGUAGUUACAUAUAAUAAUAAAAUAAAUCUUUAAAAAAAAUA